CAGCCGCCGCGGUAAUACGUAGGUGGCAAGCGUUGUCCGGAAUUAUUGGGCGUAAAGCGCGCGCAGGCGGCUUCUUAAGUCUGAUGUGAAAGCCCGCAGCUCAACUGCGGAGGGUCAUUGGAAACUGGGAAGCUUGAGUGCAGAAGAGGAGAGUGGAAUUCCACGUGUAGCGGUGAAAUGCGUAGAGAUGUGGAGGAACACCAGUGGCGAAGGCGGCUCUCUGGUCUGUAACUGACGCUGAGGCGCGAAAGCGUGGGGAGCAAACAGGAUUAGAUACCCUGGUAGUCAACGCCGUAAACGAUGAGUGCUAAGUGUUAGAGGGUUUCCGCCCUUUAGUGCUGCAGCUAACGCAUUAAGCACUCCGCCUGGGGAGUACGGCCGCAAGGCUGAAACUUAAAGGAAUUGGCCGG
rnacentral:rRNA from 1 species